UUAUAGCUUCAAAGUAUUCCCAUUGUAUGGAUGCACCUAAACUUAUGGACUCAGUUCUCCACUGAUCAAUAUGAAAUUCUGACUGUUAACGCAUGCUUUAAAACAAAACAGGAGGAAUCUGAGAUGUCUGAGGACAGUCAAGCCUUGGAGUUUGUCCUCUGCUGUUGCUGCCUGGUUUCUGGGAAUCCAUGGAAAUAGGAAUUGUGGGUCAAAGGUUAAAGGAGAUCAAUAUUUGUGAAGAGAAGAAACACAUGAAAGUCAAAAUACGAAGUAUGGCCAGAGACCUACACAGGAACUUUCAGAAGAGGAACCAGUUGCCUUUGUUACGGUAUAUCUCAUUUCCCUAUU